UACGAAGGGGGCUAGCGUUGCUCGGAAUCACUGGGCGUAAAGGGUGCGUAGGCGGUUCUUUAAGUCAGGGGUGAAAUCCUGGAGCUCAACUCCAGAACUGCCUUUGGUACUGAAGAUCUUGAGUUCGGGAGAGGUGAGUGGAACUGCGAGUGUAGAGGUGAAAUUCGUAGAUAUUCGCAAGAACACCAGUGGCGAAGGCGGCGCACUGGCCCGAUACUGACGCUGAGGCACGAAAGCGUGGGGAGCAAACAGG
rnacentral:rRNA from 1 species